UUUUUAAUUGAUAGAAACCAGUUGAGGUCAACUCUAACUUUAGCAUCUUUCUUUUAAGCAAAGUAGAAAGUGCUAUCAAGUUGGGGUAGAUGUUUGCUGACUUAGUCACCUCUGCCCAC
rnacentral:pre_miRNA from 8 species